rnacentral:rRNA from 1 species
AGUGAACGCUGGCGGUAGGCCUAACACAUACAAGUCGAACGGCAGCACAGUAAGAGCUUGCUCUUACGGGUGGCGAGUGGCGGACGGGUGAGGAAUACAUCGGAAUCUACUUUUUCGUGGGGGAUAACGUAGGGAAACUUACGCUAAUACCGCAUACGACCUACGGGUGAAAGCAGGGGAUCUUCGGACCUUGCGCGAUUGAAUGAGCCGAUGUCGGAUUAGCUAGUUGGCGGGGUAAAGGCCCACCAAGGCGACGAUCCGUAGCUGGUCUGAGAGGAUGAUCAGCCACACUGGAACUGAGACACGGUCCAGACUCCUACGGGAGGCAGCAGUGGGGAAUAUUGGACAAUGGGCGCAAGCCUGAUCCAGCCAUACCGCGUGGGUGAAGAAGGCCUUCGGGUUGUAAAGCCCUUUUGUUGGGAAAGAAAAGCAGCAGGUUAAUACCCCGCUGUUCCGACGGUACCCAAAGAAUAAGCACCGGCUAACUUCGU